GCCCAUCAGAGUGAUUUUCUGAGUUCUUUCACAUAUGCUGUAUGGUCAGCGAAUGGAUGGAUUAUCCAGUCACAGUACAUAAUGAAAGACUUGACUGAGUUAGAAGAAGCUGAGCGACUCUUCAGAGUGAAGAUGUUAUGGUAAUGUAAAUCUUACGUUUUUAUAUUGUAGUUAUAUAUAAUAUAUCAGAGACAGCACGUCAUUUUAACCCUGUUUUAUGGUUAAAGGGGUUUUGCACCCUAAUGGCACUUUUCCAU